rnacentral:lncRNA from 1 species
GAGGUCGUGGAGGCACCGGCAACUAUCGUGGCCGUGGAAGAGGUAAUCAUCAUUUCCAGCAAGAGGAAAUUACAACAAUCCAGGUCAGCAAAAACCUCCCCUUAAAUGCUAUAAAUACGGUAAAUUGGGUCAUUAUGCUAUUGUUGGAGUAAAAGAACUGAAAAUAAACAAGUUCAUGCUCGAGUAGCUGAGGAUGAAGGG